rnacentral:snRNA from 1 species
GUUUAACUUUGGCAGGACAUAUGCUAAAAUUGGAACAAUACAGAGAAAUUAGCAUGGCCCCUGUGCAAGGAUGACUUGCAAAUUUGUGAAGCAUUCCAUGUUUUU